GGACUGGGAUAACCCUGGGAAACUGGGGCUAAUACCGGAUAGGCAAUUUUUCCUGGAAUGGUUUUUUGUUUAAAUGUUUUUUCACCUAAGGAUGGGUCUGCGGCCGAUUAGGUAGUUGGUUAGGUAAUGGCUUACCAAGCCGUUGAUCGGUACGGGUUGUGAGAGCAAGAGCCCGGAGAUGGAACCUGAGACAAGGUUCCAGGCCCUACGGGGUGCAGCAGGCGCGAAACCUCCGCAAUGUGAGAAAUCGCGACGGGGGGAUCCCAAGUGCCAUUCUUAACGGGAUGGCUUUUCAUUAGUGUAAAGAGCUUUUGGAAUAAGAGCUGGGCAAGACCGGUGCCAGCCGCCGCGGUAACACCGGCAGCUCUAGUGGUAACAAUUUUUAUUGGGCCUAAAGCGUCCGUAGCCGGUUUAAUAAGUCUCUGGUGAAAUCCUGUAGCUUAACUGUGGGAAUUGCUGGAGAUACUAUUAGACUUGAGACCGGGAGAGGUUAGAGGUACUCCCAGGGUAGAGGUGAAAUUCUGUAAUCCUGGGAGGACCGCCUGUUGCGAAGGCGUCUAACUGGAACGGUUCUGACGGUGAGGGACGAAAGUUAGGGGCGCGAACCGGAUUAGAUACCCGGGUAGUCCUAACUGUAAACGAUGCGGACUUGGUGUUGGGGUGGCUUUGAGCUGCUCCAGUGCCGAAGGGAAGCUGUUAAGUCCGCCGCCUGGGAAGUACGGUCGCAAGACUGAAACUUAA
rnacentral:rRNA from 1 species